GCCUGGGUGGCUCAGUUGGUUGAGUGUCUGAGUUCAGCUCAGGUCAUGAUCUCACCAUUCAGGGGUUCAAGCCCCAUAUCAGGCU
rnacentral:tRNA from 1 species